GAGUUUGAUCAUGGCCAGGAUGAACGCUAGCGGCAGGCUUAAUACAUGCAAGUCGUGGGGCAGCAGGGGUAGCAAUACUCGCUGGCGACCGGCAAACGGGUGCGCAAUACGUACGCAACCUUCCUUUAAGCGGGGAAUAGCCCAGGGAAACUUGGAUUAAUACCCCAUAACAUGGUGAAGAGGCAUCUCUUUAUUAUUAAAGCUCCGGCACUUAAAGAUGGGCGUACGGCUGAUUAGGUAGUUGGCGGGGUAACGGCCCACCAAGCCUGCGAUCAGUAGCUGAUGUGAGAGCAUGAUCAGCCACACGGGCACUGAGACACGGGCCCGACUCCUACGGGAGGCAGCAGUAAGGAAUAUUGGUCAAUGGACGCAAGUCUGAACCAGCCAUGCCGCGUGGAGGAUGAAGGUCCUCUGGAUUGUAAACUUCUUUUAUCUGGGACGAAACACUUCUGUUCUAAGAGGCCUGACGGUACCAGAUGAAUAAGCACCGGCGAACUCCGUGCCAGCAGCGCGGUA
rnacentral:rRNA from 1 species